GCCAUCGUAGUGUAAUUGGUAGCAUACUUGGCGCGUAUUCGAGAGGUCCAGGGUUCGAAUCUCCGCGAAGGCA
rnacentral:tRNA from 1 species